GCAGUGGGGAAUAUUGCACAAUGGGCGAAAGCCUGAUGCAGCGACGCCGCGUGAGGGAUGACGGCCUUCGGGUUGUAAACCUCUUUCAGCAGGGAAGAAGCGUGUGGGUUCUCUCAUGCGUGACGGUACCUGCAGAAGAAGCACCGGCUAACUACGUGCCAGCAGCCGCGGUAAUACGUAGGGUGCGAGCGUUGUCCGGAAUUAUUGGGCGUAAAGAGCUCGUAGGCGGCUUGUCGCGUCGGAUGUGAAAGCCCGGGGCUUAACCCCGGGUCUGCAUUCGAUACGGGCAGGCUAGAGUUCGGUAGGGGAGAUCGGAAUUCCUGGUGUAGCGGUGAAAUGCGCAGAUAUCAGGAGGAACACCGGUGGCGAAGGCGGGUCUCUGGGCCGAUACUGACGCUGAGGAGCGAAAGCGUGGGGAGCGAACAGGAUUAGAUACCCUGGUAGUCCACGCCGUAAACGUUGGGAACUAGGUGUGGGCGACAUUCCACGUCGUCCGUGCCGCAGCUAACGCAUUAAGUUCCCCGCCUGGGGAGUACGGCCGCAAGGCUAAAACUCAAAGG
rnacentral:rRNA from 1 species